GACUAAGCAAUGCUAGUUGCGCGUCCCGGGCUAUGGCGGGGCGCAGCAUACGGCUCAGUAACACGUGGCUAACCUGCCCUUGGGACGGGGACAAUCCCGGGAAACUGGGGCUAAUCCCCGGUAGGUGAGGGGGCCUGGAAUGGUUCCUCACCUAAAGGGCGUUGGAGCCAUGCUUUCCAACGUUGCCCAAGGAUGGGGCCGCGGCCGAUCAGGUUGUUGGUGGGGUAACGGCCUACCAAGCCUAUAACCGGUACGGGCCGUGGGAGCGGAAGCCCGGAGAUGGGCACUGAGACAAGGGCCCAGGUCCUACGGGGCGCAGCAUGCGCGAAACCUCCGCAAUGCGCGAAAGCGUGACGGGGUUACCCCGAGUGCCGUCCGCUGAGGAUGGCUUUUCUCCGGUGUAACUAGCCGGAGGUAAUAAGAGGAGGGCAAGGUCUGGUGUCAGCCGCCGCGGUAAAACCAGCUCCUCGAGUGGUGGGGAUGAUUAUUGGGCUUAAAGCGUUCGUAGCCGGCCUGACAAGUCUUCCGUUAAAUCCAGCGACUCAAUCGCUGGGCCGCGGAAGAUACUGCCGGGCUAGGGGACGGGAGAGGCCGACGGUAUUCUUGGGGUAGGGGCGAAAUCCUAUAAUCCCAAGAGGACCACCAGUGGCGAAGGCGGUCGGCUAGAACGAGCUCGACGGUGAGGGACGAAAGCUGGGGGAGCGAACCGGAUUAGAUACCCGGGUAGUCCCAGCUGUAAACGAUGCGGGCUAGGUGUUGGAGCGGUCACGAACCGCUUCGGUGCCGCAGGGAAACCGUUAAGCCCGCCGCCUGGGAAGUACGGCCGCAAGGCUGAAACUUAAAGGAAUUGGCGGGGGAGCACCACAAGGCGUGAAGCUUGCGGUUU
rnacentral:rRNA from 1 species